AGCUGGCAGGGAGUGGAGCCAGAGGCAGAAAAGGAGAGAAAAGUUUCCUGCCAUCUUCAUUAGUUGACUUCCCAGUCCACAGCCACAGCUUCCCGGGGCUGCAGAAUUCACUCUCAAUAAAGAAAGGAGGCUUAAAAAAAAAAAAAAAAGUCCUGUGUUUACAAGACCAGAAAUGCCAGCGCUAAGUCCUUCCAGAGAGAAAGGCUGAAAUGGAGGACCGACGCCUUCCUUAUAAGCUCAUCGGAGCACGAUAGAAAAGCAACUGUAAAGGCAGAGAGAGUAAGAGCGGAAGGAAGGAAGUCAGCGCCAACGUAGACCAAAAGGAACCACCCAGAAAUGUAGAAAAAGGAACCGGCAGAGGUCCCCAACAUCGGUAGAAGGACAGAAGACACGCACGGAGAAAGGUUUAUGUUUUGUUUUGUUGUUUUUUAAAUUUCAACUUGGAGCUCAAUGAAGAAAAGGCAAAAUAUAGGCCAGUGGACCAGAGGACCGGAAGAGGACCAGUCAUAGCUCACAGUGUGCCGGGUCCAGAUGGAAGGAACUCCAGACAAACCCCAGUGGCAGGAUAGGCACAGUCCUGAAGGCUGGGGGCUCGCCCCUUGAAACCCUCUUCGCAGGCUGCCUGAGUUCUUUUGCUCUCCUUAUCAUCCCCAUCUUUAUGACGAGGCUUGUUAACAUGACCAGCGAUCUGACCACGCACAUCUAUCUCCACCGCACACGCACUCAGCCGAGCAGCUGAGCUGGGGGGACUGAGAGGCACUAAUUAAUUGAUUCCUUGGACUGUAAAAUAUGGCUGUGUCUACACACACGGAACCUGUGGACUCAUAAACAAUAUGUCUGCAGAUGUGAGUGCACUGUCUCUUAAAGAAUUUUUCUAUAGUUAUGUGCCUAUUAGAAUCCAGGAUUUGAAAGACUCAAAUAAGAUUGCUUUUUCAUAAGCCUCAACACAGUACAAUGUCAGAAAAUUCUGCAAAAACUUGGGUUAUGGAAUAGGUUUUCUCUGCUGUUACUGUAGACACACAAAUUGGCUUCUGACUGCUAAGUGUUAGGAUCAAAAUCAAAGCCCAGCUGAGAAGGCCUGAAUGAAGCCUUUGCCCUUCCUGGGAGAAGGGGAAUGGGCCCAGGUUCAGGCCUUACUUCAUAAUGCUGCUUAGGCUCAAGAUUAUAAUAUUAAUAUAUAUAUAUAUUUACAAACCCUAACCUAAAGGAGCCUAACCCUAACCCUUACCUAGCUCUCCAGAUCACUGUCCACCCCUUAACUAUCUGCCUGCAUAGAGCAUUGCUAUAACAUGCUUGCAUUAGUCUUGGAAGAAUGUGUCUUGAGAUGCAUAAGUAAAUAGCUCUAACAAUUCUAUAUAAUCAUGAUUCCAUAGUGAAUCUUGAUGCAAAUAGGCGUUAAUAUGUUCUCAACAGAUACCAGCUUCAGACAAGAGACACAACAGGAAACUAAAAGUGACCAUUUAUACAACAAUGUUUGCUGACAUACAUGGCUAUUUCAAAGACAAAAAUACUAGGCAGAAAUAGAAAAACACAAAUAGAAACACAAAUAGAAAAAACCAAUUAACCAGUGGAGUUUGUCAUUACCAAUGUCAUCAUUGCUUCCUGAUUUUGGGUGACUCUUUUAAACCCGGCUGUGUUCCCUUCAUUCAGCACGGCAGAGAUGGUCUACCUUCCCAUACCUUCAGCUCUGGCUCCAAUAUUUAUUUUUAAAAAAAUCUUCAGAGAAAUGUAUACCACAAAUAAUAUGUGCAUCUAAAGAAUAUGCCAAUAUAAUUUACAUAUUUUUUCAUAUACUAGGCUGAUAUGCACUUUGUAUGUGUGUAAGAAUGUGAUAUAAUUCUGAGUUUUUACUGCUGUAGUAAUAUUUGGGUGCAUUUCAUGCAAUAGUUCCAUAUGCUACAGAAUGUAGAUACACGUGACUAAAUGAACUCAGAAAAGCACACCCUUUAUGUAGGAUAUAUGAAAGCCUUGCUUACAAAUGCAAAUAAAUUCUUGUUUGUGAAUCUAAA
rnacentral:lncRNA from 1 species